rnacentral:snRNA from 1 species
AGAUGUGAGGAUGAUCUGGCUGCGACAUCUGUCACCCCAUUGAUCACCAGGGUUGCUGAUCUGGCUGGCUAGGCAGGUGUGCCCUUCUUCCCUCACCACUCCAAGUGCGUCCCUCCUGAAGCUGUGAGCUCCAUGGAAGAAGACAACUUUCCCCAAUAAAGGACAGUUAUAAGAGUAGCUGUGCUCCCCUACUAGAACCUCCAAACAAGCUCACAUCUGCUGAUUUAAAUGCUGAUCUCAUCCCAAAACUUUCACAGAAAUACUCAGAAUAAUGUUUGACCAAAUAU